GCCGUUGUAGCUCAGGGGUAGAGCGUUUCCUUGGUAAGGAAGAGGUCAUGAGUUCAAUUCUCAUCAAUGGCUCAA
rnacentral:tRNA from 1 species